AACGAACGCUGGCGGCAGGCUUAACACAUGCAAGUCGAGCGCCCCGCAAGGGGAGCGGCAGACGGGUGAGUAACGCGUGGGAAUCUACCGUACCCUCCGGAAUAGCUCCGGGAAACUGGAAUUAAUACCGUAUACGCCCUACGGGGGAAAGAUUUAUCGGGGUAUGAUGAGCCCGCGUUGGAUUAGCUAGUUGGUGGGGUAAAGGCCUAACAAUGCGACGAUCCAUAGCUGGUCUGAGAGGAUGAUCAGCCACAUUGGGACUGAGACACGGCCCAAACUCGUACGGGAGGCAGCAGUGGGGAAUAUUGGACAAUGGGCGCAAGCCUGAUCCAGCCAUGCCGCGAGAGUGAUGAAGGUCUUAGGAUUGUAAAGCUCUUUCACCGAUGAAGAUAAUGACGGUAGUCGGAGAAGAAGCCCCGGCUAACUUCGUGCCAGCCGCCGCCGUAA
rnacentral:rRNA from 1 species